rnacentral:lncRNA from 1 species
AUGCUUCCCAUCUGGAACAGGACGAGAUCGCUGACGCACCACCUCCUCCUGCAGAUCCUCCUAUCCACCGCAACCAGCAGCUCUGAUGAGGGCAACCCCUACUGGGGGCUCCUUCGGGCGCUCCCUUUUCCUCUCCCUUUAUCUAACUCUUCCAAGAUCCUCCCCUUAAUGUACUUAGCCAAUGCUACUCUUGGUCAGCGCUACAACGUUCCGGCUGCUGACCCAGUAGCUUCGCCUAACUCUGCUUACGCUAGCCUGAAUCUCACCUUAUCUCUAGCCGGAUCUCUGUGCUUUCAGAUAAGCAAGGACGGUGUGGAUGAGUGCGGGUUUAAUCACACCCACCCUUCACCAUGCAUUGUUGUACUCCCUUUUGUUCUCAGCGAUUUUGUGAAUGUUUGCCACUCCAACUCUUCUUGUCAGAAUAAUUCCGGCAAUGUGGCCUCUUUCUCCUCUAAUAGCAUUCCACUGCGUUGUCUCCACUGCACUUCUAACAAGACUUUACCUAUUGUAGACCCCAUCCAGCAUUGUAAAUCCCCAGUCAACCCUGUAUGCCCUGCUUUCUCAUCUUGCUUAUCUAACACGGUUCGCGCGCAGUUAGGUCAUGGAUUCUUUCUCACUCGCCACGCAUUAUUCGGGGGCUGGACAGCCCUCAAUAAUUCAGUCAUUACCUGCUUUACUACUACAAAUGUGACCUGUUCCAACCCUCAUUCCAAUAACACCCACAUACAGCCGCUCAGUAACAGCAUACAGGCUUGGUCCAACCAAAAUAUGUUUGAAACCGAUGAGGAUGGUAGUGUGGGGGACCCAUUUGUUAUGUGUAAUGCUGCUGGAGCUUGUACAGCUAUCACACCCUUACUUUUCCUUAAAGGAUUCCAUUGGGCUAACGGCACCUUCUGCGGCUCGUACUACCAACCUGCUACCCUAACGUUAAAGUACUAUAACACAUCCCAUAAAGCUGAAGGCAGGGUCAAUUCUGUGUGCCUGAGCACGCCUUUUCUUUGGUAUGUUUGUCAAGACAUUAAUUGUACUUGUUUUUCAGGAAAUCUGACUAACUGCUGGGAUGGGAACCACAUGGCUGUCGUGGUUCGCAUUCCGACUUGGGUCCCAGUACGGCUACUGGUAUGCGAACAGGACUUUGCAGUCACCCUCUGCAACUGGAGAGACUUUGGUGCCACUGCCAUCGUUGUAGCCGUUAUUGCAGCCUUGUCAGCCGGCACGGUGGCCAUCGGUAUGGCGGUCUCUCAGGCUUCCACCCUAUCCACACUGGAUAACAUUACUAAGGACACGGCCACAGCGCUGGAACAUCAACAAGAAAUGGACCUACACCUCUAUACCAGCCUCCAAAUGCUAAAUCAGCAUGUAGAUGUUAUGCAGGAAGAGCUGGACUUAUUGGGGGCUCUUGCAGGUAUGCUGUGCUUACUUCAAUCCAUGUCCACUUGUGUUACUCCCUUUAAAGCAGCAGAAUUUUCUCAUUUAGCCAAUGACUCUAAAGCUUUAGGAAAAAUGAUAAAUACUAUAUGGAAUAGCAAUUUCACUCUGCUGUUAGAUAAGCUGCGACGUGAUAUAUUACGGUUAAGGGAAACCUCUCCUUCUGGUACAACUAUAUGGUCACCCUUUGCGACCCUAGGGUCCUGGUUCGGCAAAUCCUGGAACACGGUUAAAGAAUGGGUGGCCAUCGGGGCCCUGUCUAUUGUGGUACUCUUGUUUGGUUCUGGGUUAACUUCGCCUCCUGAUCUCCAUUAUACGCCGCCAUAG